rnacentral:rRNA from 1 species
GCAGUCGNNCGAUGAAGCANNAGCUUGCUGGUGUGGAUUAGUGGCGAACGGGUGAGUAACACGUGAGUAACCUGCCCCUCACUCUGGGAUAAGCCUGGGAAACUGGGUCUAAUACUGGAUACGACCGAUCUCCGCAUGGAGUGUUGGUGGAAAGUUUUUGUGGUGGGGGAUGGACUCGCGGCCUAUCAGCUUGUUGGUGGGGUAAUGGCCUACCAAGGCGACGACGGGUAGCCGGCCUGAGAGGGCGACCGGCCACACUGGGACUGAGACACGGCCCAGACUCCUACGGGAGGCAGCAGUGGGGAAUAUUGCMCAAUGGGCGAAAGCCUGAUGCAGCGACGCCGCGUGAGGGAUGACGGCCUUCGGGUUGUAAACCUCUUUCACCAGGGACGAAGCUAACGUGACGGUACCUGGAGAAGAAGCACCGGCUAACUACGUGCCAGCAGCCGCGGUAAUACGUAGGGUGCGAGCGUUGUCCGGAAUUAUUGGGCGUAAAGAGCUUGUAGGCGGUUUGUCGCGUCUGCUGUGAAAGACCGGGGCUUAACUCCGGUUCUGCAGUGGGUACGGGCAGACUAGAGUGUGGUAGGGGAGACUGGAAUUCCUGGUGUAGCGGUGAAAUGCGCAGAUAUCAGGAGGAACACCGAUGGCGAAGGCAGGUCUCUGGGCCAUUACUGACGCUGAGAAGCGAAAGCAUGGGGAGCGAACAGGAUUAGAUACCCUGGUAGUCCAUGCCGUAAACGUUGGGCGCUAGGUGUGGGACUCAUUCCACGAGUUCCGUGCCGCAGCUAACGCAUUAAGCGCCCCGCCUGGGGAGUACGGCCGCAAGGCUAAAACUCAAAGGAAUUGACGNGGGGCCCGCACAAGCGGCGGAGCAUGCGGAUUAAUUCGAUGCAACGCGAAGAACCUUACCAAGGCUUGACAUANCMCCGGAAUCAUGCAGAGAUGUGUGCGUCUUCGGACUGGUGUACAGGUGGUGCAUGGUUGUCGUCAGCUCGUGUCGUGAGAUGUUGGGUUAAGUCCCGCAACGAGCGCAACCCUCGUUCCAUGUUGCCAGCACUUCGGGUGGGGACUCAUGGGAGACUGCCGGGGUCAACUCGGAGGAAGGUGGGGAUGACGUCAAAUCAUCAUGCCCCUUAUGUCUUGGGCUUCACGCAUGCUACAAUGGCCGGUACAGAGGGUUGCGAAACCGUGAGGUGGAGCUAAUCCCAAAAAACCGGUCUCAGUUCGGAUUGGGGUCUGCAACUCGACCCCAUGAAGUUGGAGUCGCUAGUAAUCGCAGAUCAGCAACGCUGCGGUGAAUACGUUCCCGGGCCUUGUACACACCGCCCGUCAAGUCACGAAAGUCGGUAACACCCGAAGCCGGUGGCCUAACCCUUGUNGGGGAGCC